GAGGUUGUGGCUCAGUGGUAGAGCACUUGCCUAGCAUGUAUGAAGCACUGGGUUAGAUUCUCACCACCACA
rfam:Ictidomys tridecemlineatus contig024622, whole genome shotgun sequence.